rnacentral:rRNA from 1 species
UACAGAGGGCGCGAGCGUUGUCCGGAAUCACUGGGCGUAAAGGGCGCGUAGGUGGCCACUAUAAGGCCGCGGUGAAAGUUCGGGGCUCAACCCUGAAUCUGCCGCGGCGACUGUAGGGCUUGGGCACUGUAGAGGCAGAUGGAAUUCCGGGUGUAGCGGUGGAAUGCGUAGAUAUCGGGAGGAACACCAGUGGCGAAGGCGGCGAUCUGGGUCGAUACUGACGCUGAGGUGCGAAAGCGUGGGGAGCAAACAGG